rnacentral:rRNA from 1 species
UACGAAGGGGGCUAGCGUUGUUCGGAUUUACUGGGCGUAAAGCGCACGUAGGCGGACUUUUAAGUCAGGGGUGAAAUCCCAGAGCUCAACUCUGGAACUGCCUUUGAUACUGGGGAUCUUGAGUCCGGGAGAGGUGAGUGGAACUGCGAGUGUAGAGGUGAAAUUCGUAGAUAUUCGCAAGAACACCAGUGGCGAAGGCGGCUCACUGGCCCGGUACUGACGCUGAGGUGCGAAAGCGUGGGGAGCAAACAGG